UGCCGGCUCCUGUCCUAGAUCAACUCAGAAAGUAAAACACAUGGGAUGUGCGUGACCCAUCCGUCAGUGUGAGACCUGCAGUGACCACUUCCGCCGGCUGCACAAACCUGGAGAGAGGCUGCGGUGCCCCAACUGUGAGUUUCCAGAGGGCUGUACAAAUGUCCGCCCAUGUCCAGUCCUGUACCCAUGGCUCAAGCGCAUCUGGUCAUCACCAUCAGAGAGGAGAACUGGGUCCCACCUUCAGAGGGUGGCCUGUUACACAUUUGGAAAUAUAAACAAGUGGAAAAGAUGCCAUCAACAUUCCUACAAAGAAGGUAGAGCCAACUGGAGGUCUGCUGACAAAAACAGAUGGAAGAGGAAGAGAGAAAGGAUGGAGGGAAGAGAAGAAGAGAGGAAGGGAAGGAAGGAAAGAAG